rnacentral:tRNA from 1 species
GGUCGGGUAGCUCAGUUGGUAGAGCACGCGCCUGAAAAGCGCGGGGUCACCGGAUCG